rnacentral:lncRNA from 1 species
ACAGAUUGUCAUACAGUCAAGUCGUGAAACUUCAAACAUGCCGCACAUUGAAAAGAGAAAGACAUUACUCGAAGGCGGAAUCAUAUUUCCUCGCUCUGUCAUAGCAGAGAUUUUAAACAAAAUACGAUUGUAACGAAGAAGGUCGUUGUUGCGUUGUGAAUAUUUGUAAUCUCUAGUUUAUAUUUUCUACUCCUGCUUCCUUUCGUCAUAGGUUAAUGUUUCACGCCUAAACCUUAUUCGAGAAAUGUGCUUUAAAAUAAUCCGAAUAUUAUAAGAUUAUAAGAUUAAUCCGAAUAUACUGACGCUUUUCGGGAACUUUAUUUUAUACUGAUUAUUCUUACAGAAAUAUGACUAGAAAUAUGGAAUGAUCUGGACCGUAGAAUUAGUAAAACACAAUAAUAAAUAAAAGAAUAAGUAAAGAAAAAUAGUAAAUUCGUAUAAUAGAGGAAUAAAAUACAGUCUCGAUUACUAACGAAACAUAAUCUUCAACAUAUUAAAGUGCUUAAAAUAUGUUAUUAAACAAAAAGAGUCUCGGAUAUAUCAAACUUUUAUAAAAAAAUUAUCAGUUUAGAUUUUUUAACAUCAAUAUAUAAAUUGUUCGAAUAUUUUUGAGACAUAAAGACUCAUUUCUUUUUACAUCAAGUAGAAUAUGAAGUUGUGCUAGUGUCUAAAUGUUUUCGAGACUGACUGUAUGUUCAUAUAUAUACAAUAUGUACCACUACGGUUUACUUACGUGUUACAUUCUUCUACUUAUAUACGUCAAGAUAAAUGUAAAUUAUAAAAUAAAUUCAAUAUUAAUAUGUUAAUGAGUUGCCAUUUCCUUUCUGAAUUCAUAAAUAAAUUUUGACGUAAUAAAUCGCAAGAAUAACAUA